rnacentral:rRNA from 1 species
CGAUCAGUAGGGGUUCUGAGAGGAAGGUCCCCCACAUUGGAACUGAGACACGGUCCAAACUCUUACGGGAGGCAGCAGUGAGGAAUAUUGGUCAAUGGACGGAAGUCUGAACCAGCCAAGUAGCGUGCAGGAUGACGGCCCUACGGGUUGUAAACUGCUUUUGUAUGGGGAUAAAGUCAAUCACGUGUGAUUGUUUGCAGGUACCAUACGAAUAAGGACCGGCUAAUUCCGUGCCAGCAGCCGCGGUAAUACGGAAGGUUCGGGCGUUAUCCGGAUUUAUUGGGUUUAAAGGGAGCGUAGGCCGGAGAUUAAGUGUGUUGUGAAAUGUAGGCGCUCAACGUCUGACUUGCAGCGCAUACUGGUUUCCUUGAGUACGCACAACGUUGGCGGAAUUCGUCGUGUAGCGGUGAAAUGCUUAGAUAUGACGAAGAACUCCGAUUGCGAAGGCAGCUGACGGGAGCGCAACUGACGCUGAAGCUCGAAGGUGCGGGUAUCGAACAGGAUUAGAUACCCUGGUAGUCCGCACAGUAAACGAUGGAUGCCCGCUGUUGGUACCUGGUAUCAGCGGCUAAGCGAAAGCAUUAAGCAUC